CAGUUCCGAGAAAAUUUGACAUUAAAAGCCUAAACCAGGAAGAAUUGAUCACAGACAUCAGCCUUUUACCUCGGUUGCCAUGUGGUCACCAUAUACCUCCUGAUUACCUGAUUGCGUGGAUCCGGUCCCAGCUUGAACACGUUUGUCCAACCAAAGCAGCGGCUCUGUGGUGCCAGCUUCUCCUAUCAGACGGUGUGUGAGCUGGUUCAGCUGAAGCCAAAG